UACGGAGGGUGCAAGCGUUAUCCGGAUUCACUGGGUUUAAAGGGUGCGUAGGUGGGUUGGUAAGUCAGUGGUGAAAUCUCCGAGCUUAACUUGGAAACUGCCAUUGAUACUAUCAGUCUUGAAUAUUGUGGAGGUUAGCGGAAUAUGUCAUGUAGCGGUGAAAUGCUUAGAUAUGACAUAGAACACCAAUUGCGAAGGCAGCUGGCUACACAUAUAUUGACACUGAGGCACGAAAGCGUGGGGAUCAAACAGGG
rnacentral:rRNA from 1 species